rnacentral:rRNA from 1 species
GACGAACGCUGGCGGCGUGCUUAACACAUGCGAGUCGAACGGAAAGGCCCCUUUGGGGGUACUCGAGUGGCGAACGGGUGAGUAACACGUGAGUAACCUGCCCUUGACUUCGGGAUAACUUCAGGAAACUGGGGCUAAUACCGGAUAGGAAUCCUUGCUGCAUGGUGGGGGUUGGAAAGCUUCGGCGGUUUUGGAUGGACUCGCGGCUUAUCAGCUUGUUGGUGGGGUAGUGGCUUACCAAGGCUUUGACGGGUAGCCGGCCUGAGAGGGCGACCGGCCACAUUGGGACUGAGAUACGGCCCAGACUCCUACGGGAGGCAGCAGGGGGGAAUAUUGCACAAUGGGCGGAAGCCUGAUGCAGCAACGCCGCGGGCGGGAGGACGGCCUUCGGGUUGGAAACCGCUUUCAGCAGGGGCGAAGCUUGUGGUGACGGUACCUGCAGAAGAAGCACCGGCUAACUACGUG